rnacentral:rRNA from 1 species
UACGUAGGGCGCAAGCGUUGUUCGGAAUUACUGGGCGUAAAGGGCUCGUAGGCGGCCAACUAAGUCAGACGUGAAAUCCCUCGGCUUAACCGGGGAACUGCGUCUGAUACUGGAUGGCUUGAGUUUGGGAGAGGGAUGCGGAAUUCCAGGUGUAGCGGUGAAAUGCGUAGAUAUCUGGAGGAACACCGGUGGCGAAGGCGGCAUCCUGGACCAACACUGACGCUGAGUGAGCGAAAGCCAGGGGAGCAAACGGGG